rnacentral:rRNA from 1 species
CGCCUGGGGAGUACGGGUGAGGUAACGGCUCACCAAGGCGACGACGGGUAACCGGCCUGAGAGGGUGACCGGUCACACUGGGACUGAGACGCGGCCCAGACUCCUACGGGAGGCAGCAGUGGGGAAUAUUGCACAAUGGGCGCAAGCCUGAUGCAGCAACGCCGCGUGAGGGAUGACGGCCUUCGGGUUGUAAACCUCUUUUAGCAGGGAAGAAGCGAAAGUGACGGUACCUGCAGAAAAAGCACCGGCUAACUACGUGCCAGCAGCCGCGGUAAUACGUAGGGUGCAAGCGUUGUCCGGAAUUAUUGGGCGUAAAGAGCUCGUAGGCGGUUUGUCACGUCUGCUGUGAAAAUCCAAGGCUCAACUUUGGACUUGCAGUGGGUACGGGCAGGCUAGAGUGCGGUAGGGGAGAUGGGAAUUCCUGGUGUAGCGGUGGAAUGCGCAGAUAUCAGGAGGAACACCAAUGGCGAAGGCACAUCUCUGGGCCGUAACUGACGCUGAGGAGCGAAAGCGUGGGGAGCGAACAGGAUUAGAUACCCUGGUAGUCCACGCCGUAAACGGUGGGUGCUAGCUGUGGGCCACAUUCCACGUGGUCCGUGACGAAGUUAACACAUUAAGCACCCCGCCUGGGGAGUACGG